rnacentral:rRNA from 1 species
GAUGAACGCUAGCGGCAGGCCUAACACAUGCAAGUCGAGGGGGAAGUUACUUUCGGGUGACUGAGACCGGCGUACGGGUGCGUAACGCGUAUACAAUCUGCCUUUCACUGGGGGAUAGCCCGAAGAAAUUUGGAUUAAUACCCCAUAGUAUAUAGGGACGGCAUCGUUUUUAUAUUAAAGCUUAGGUGGUGAAAGAUGAGUAUGCGUUCUAUUAGCUAGUUGGAGAGGUAACGGCUCCCCAAGGCGAUGAUAGAUAGGGGUUCUGAGAGGGAUGUCCCCCACACUGGUACUGAGAUACGGACCAGGCUCCUACGGGAGGCAGCAGUGAGGAAUAUUGGACAAUGGUCGGAAGACUGAUCCAGCCAUGCCGCGUGCAGGAUGAAGGUCUUAUGGAUUGUAAACUGCUUUUGUAAGGGAAGAAUAAGGGCUACGCGUAGUUUGAUGACGGUACCUUACGAAUAAGCAUCGGCUAACUCCGUG